GUGGAUGUAGCUCAGUUGGUAGAGCUCCGGAUUGUGGUUCCGGCGGUCGUGGGUUCAAGUCCCAUCAUCCACCCCA
rnacentral:tRNA from 1 species